rnacentral:rRNA from 1 species
GUGAAGCUGGAUUCGCUAGUAAUCGCGCAUCAGCCAUGGCGCGGUGAAUACGUUCCCGGGCCUUGUACACACCGCCCGUCAAGCCAUGAAAGCCGGGGGUACCUGAAGUACGUAACCGCAAGGAGCGUCCUAGGGUAAAACUGGUAAUUGGGGCUAAGUCGUAACAAGGUACC